rnacentral:rRNA from 14 species
CCAAAACAACCAGGAUGUUGGCUUAGAAGCAGCCAUCAUUUAAAGAAAGCGUAACAGCUCACUGGUCAAGCGCUCCUGCGCGGAAAAUGUAACGGGGCUUAAGUGAUACACCGAAGCUGCGGGCCCGGAUUUAAUCCGGGCGGUAGCGGAGCGUUCCGUAGGCCGAUGAAGGCAGACCCGCGAGGGCUGCUGGAGGUAUCGGAAGUGAGAAUGCUGACAUGAGUAGCGACAAAGAGGGUGAGAGACCCUCUCGCCGAAAGUCCAAGGGUUCCUGCUCAACGCUAAUCGGAGCAGGGUUAGUCGGCCCCUAAGGCGAGGCCGAAAGGCGUAGUCGAUGGGAACCAGGUUAAUAUUCCUGGGCCAGGAGGAUGUGACGGAUCUCGAAGGUUGUUCCCUCUUAUCGGAUUGAGGGGGCCGCUUAGAGGUUCCUGGAAAUAGCCCUCCAUGAGAUCGUACCCUAAACCGACACAGG